rnacentral:lncRNA from 1 species
AACUAUUAUAAUAGUUAAGCCCACUGCUCCUACUAAAAUACUUAUGUCACUGAUCUUCUCUUCUAGGUGUAAAACAACUAAAGUUUGCAGACCAAAACUAGAAAGGUGACUGGGCUAUGAGGGCAGCCAAUAUUUUGGCCCUGGCCCCCUCAAGGCCAACAAAGAUCUAGGACACAAAGGAACUUUUCCUGCAGGACCCUACAUCUUUGCUAUUUGCAAAUACCUGCAUAAUCUAAAGAGCAGAAGCUUACUGCUUGGAGCCCCCAAUGAAAAAAAGAAAGCUGUGAUUGGAUGUCAUUACUGCCAAUCAACUGGAGGAUAACAUAGGCUGUGACUUUUCAAGGGAGAGAUAAAAGGACCAGGUCACGACUUAGGUGAUUAUGGUGUGUGUAAGCCAGUGUAUGCAGUGUGUGUGUGUGUGUGUGUGUGUGUGUAUGUAUGUGUGCAGGUGUAUCUAGUUUGACUUAGGCCUCUGAAACAGUUCAAGGAGAAGUGAUAUCUGAUGAUUUCAUAAUGUCAUCUUAAAUAGAAAAUAAAGGGACUUUGUUGAAAAAAUGUCUGAUU